rnacentral:misc_RNA from 2 species
AAACAUCAAACCCACUGGCUUUGCGGUCGGUGCGGUUUGGACUUGGGGGUUCUUUGCUGCCGCUUGCGGUGGCUCCCCUUAAAUGAAUCGGUCGGGCUUUCGUGUGGCUUGUCCCUUGGCGUUGUAUUACCCUCGUCGCUGGACGGCCCGCGUGUUUGCGCCCCUCCUUGACUUGCCUUUGGAGUGGCGGUCAAUUGCUUUGUG